ACCUGAUGAGCACCGAGGGG
rnacentral:misc_RNA from 1 species